CCUGGAAGGAAGAUCUCUGGGAGGAUGAUUAUUCUCAAGCAAAAGUCCUAACAACACAAGGUUUUCAGUCUUCCUUUGAAGCACGGGCACAAGCUGACUUAAAGUUCACUUAUGUUAUUUCUUGCCAAAUUUAUGGGCAACAAAAACAUUGAAAGCUCCAAAGGCGGCUGAUAUUGCUCUUUUGUUGCAAAGCUCAAAGGUUUUCAACACCGAAAUUUCCAGGCUUACUGGGCUAGUGGCUCUGUAGUGUUAGGGGAAUGUGAUGUCAAUGCCAUGUGCUCAGGCUUCUCAUCUGAAGUGCCUGUCUUGAAUAUUCUAGUAUAUGAAAAAUGAAUUUUUUUUUCCAUAUAAUUCUAGAAACAAUAUAUAUAUACAUAAUUCAAUAGGCCUUUGUGUCAGUUAUUUUGGGUCUCCUACUUGCAUUUAUUUCCUCCAGCUGACUAUUAGAAAUGAAUAAAUCAAAUUUAAUUAAAAAAAUAUAGCAUUAUAAGAAAUGACUGGCAUGAAUUCACAAUUGAUGCACACAAAAAAAUUGAGAAUUAAGGAAGCUCUACUAAAACUGGGAAAUCAGACGGCAAAGGAGCAUGUGAGGGAACUGAAAAGAAAUUGGUUGUCAUGGAUCCUGGAGGUGAAGGAAAACUUUCUGUUUACUAAGGGAGGCUGGGAGCUAAAAUAACUAAUAAUCAUGGUGGUGGUUUCACGUUGCUGCCAUCCUAGUGGAGCCCUCUCCUUAUUGAGUGAUGAGGAACUGAAGGUAUAAUUCAAUUGUGUGUGUUGGAAUGUUUCUAGCACGUGCCUUUCUUAAUGUUAUAUCAUUGUAAAUCAUGUUCAUCUGGCCAAGAAUAAUAAGCAAUGGAUCUAAAUUUUGCUGAUGGAUCUAACUGUAUCAUUGUCUGUGUUUGUCUGAUAUAUAUGUCUGUGUAAGAGAGAUCUAAAUCUUGGGUUAAAUUCAAAUGCCGUGUUAUGUUUCUUGUUUAUCUCUUUUAUAAAUGUCAAGAAUUCAUUUUUUUUUUAUUCUUCUUCUAAAUACAGGAACAUGAGUUGAUUAUGGGUUUCAAAAACAGGACUUGCUGAUGAAUUUCCUCAUCUAAUCAUUUUAGUGUUUAUCUGUAAAAUAAGUUCUUGUGAUGGUUAUACGGGUUAAUUUUGAAAACUUUCAAACACUUUUGUGGGUCAAAAACACAGAUUUUGGUUUUCUUAGUGUUCAUAAGAGUUAAUAUGCGAUCCACUAGUUAAGAAUUAUAAUUUUUAUGAAUGUGUCUAUGUAAGAGAGAUUUAAAUCUUGUAUUAAAUUCAAAUGCUGUGUUAUGUUUCUUGUCUGUCAUUU